rnacentral:rRNA from 1 species
CCCCUAGAUGUUCUGGGCUGCACCCGUGCUACACUGGCAGGUUCAGCGAGCUUCAUGCCCUGAUCUGAAAGGAAUGGGAAAUCUUUUCAAAACCUGCCGUGCUUGGGAUAGAUGUUUGCAAUUAUUCAUCUUCAACGAGGAUUGCCUUGUAAGCGCACGUCAUCAGCGUGCAUUGAAUACGACCCUGUAUUCUGUACACACCGCCCGUCGCUCCUACCGAUUGAAGUUUUCGGUGAGUUGACAGGAGGAUUUUUUUGAAACUGGUUCGCCAGUGGAUUUUAGAUCCAAAUGCCAACGAAUCGAUGGCUUUAGAGGAAGGAGAAGUCGUAACA